GACGGAGGAUGCAAGUGUUAUCCGGAAUCACUGGGCGUAAAGCGUCUGUAGGUGGUUUAAAAAGUCCACUGUUAAAGAUUGAAGCUUAACUUCAAAAAUGCCGUGGAAACUUUGAAACUUGAGUAUGAUAGGGGUAGAGGGAAUUUCCAGUGGAGCGGUGAAAUGCGUAGAUAUUGGAAAGACCACCAAUGGCGAAGGCACUCUACUGGGCCAUUACUGACACUGAGAGACGAAAGCUAGGGGAGCAAAUGGG
rnacentral:rRNA from 1 species